AGGAUGAACGCUGGCGGCGUGCCUAAUACAUGCAAGUCGAGCGGUAAGGCCACUUCGGUGGUACACGAGCGGCGGACGGCAGAGUAACGCGUGGGAAUCUACCCCAAACUGAGGGAUAAGCACCAGAAAUGGUGUCUAAUACCGCAUAUGCUCUUCGGAGUAAAGCUACGGCGGUUUGGGAAGAGCCUGCGUAUGAUUAGCUUGUUGGUAAGGUAAAAGCUUACCAAGGCGACAAUCCGUAGCUGGUCUGAGAGGACGACCAGCCACACCGGAACUGAGACACGGUCCGGACUCCUACGGGAGGCAGCAGUGGGGAAUAUUGGACAAUGGGGGAAACCCUGAUCCAGCGACGCCGCGUGUGUGAAGAAGGCCUGCGGGUUGUAAAGCACUUUUAGUGGGGACAAAAGCUACGGAUUAAUACUCUGUGGUCUUGAUUUAACCCAAAGAAAAGCACCGGCUAACUCUGUGCCAGCAGCCGC
rnacentral:rRNA from 1 species